AAGGAAAGUUAUUAAUUUAAUAAUUUAUGUAUAAUAUUUAAGUCUAAGUAAAGGUUUUCAAUAGAGAAUAUAAAUAAGUUAAUAAAUAUUGUUAUGGCGUAAGCACCGCUUCGCGGCUAAAUAUAAUAAAAUAACUUAUUUUGGAAAAUCAAGCUCAUCUAAAAAUUUUUUUUAGUAAGAAAUUAUCACAAGAUAUAGCUUAA
rnacentral:RNase_P_RNA from 1 species